GCUGGAGGUCCCUGUCUACCUGAGGUCUUCUAAAGUGUUACAAUGUUAUAGAAUAUAAACAGUCUACAAGCCUAGAUAAGAAGCAACCUAGAUCUGUGCUGGCCUGGAUAUAUAUUACUCCUUCAGAAGUGUGCACUUCUGAAAAAGUGAGAGAUGUCCAAGAGAGGAAAAUCUGAUAAUGACUCUAAUCUAUGAAUAUUUUUCCUAUAAUAGCAAUGAUGCUGCCACAUAUUUUGCAAAGUGCUCUUUUCUGGAGCUGAAGAUUGAGUUGCAUCCAAUGCGAUAGACCCCACUGGCAGCCGCGUGUUCCUAGCGGAGACAUUCCUUCACCAUGCCAAGUUAUUUUUAAGUCUAUCUGGAUUUUUUUUUAAUUUUUAAACCAGCACAUAAAAGAAAGCUAUCGAGUUGCUCAAUCAAUGUUAGUUUAUUAUUGCUUACCCAAGUGUUUAAUAAACCUAUCCCAACUCUGGACGUAGAUUUAAAUACUUCAUUGACUGUAACAAAGCAGAUUUUUCCUAUCAGACCAAAGUGGCUCUAUAAACUAUAAUUAAGCACUAAUUAUGAGCUCUACUGGUCAGAUAGCAGAAAGCAAGGUCCAUUGUGUGUCUGGCAGAACUGGCAAUUAAAAGAGAUUAUUGUUGUCAGAAAUGGAAUAAAACAAACAAAGAAAAAAUUAGGAGGAAGGGAAGAUUUGCAAUUGACCAGAGUAAACUUUGCUGUGUUCAUGGGCUUGGGAGAUUAUGACAUCAUGAACACAAAACCUGGAGUUGUGAUGGGAUAGAGCAGAUGUAGUAAGUUUUUCUGGAAAAAAUCACGUACUUAAUUGGAUAACAGGCUGUAGAGUUGCAUUCUGUUUGGCUUCACUCUUCUACAU